CCGGCCUUUCAAACCCGGCAGAGACCGGGACACCCUUUCCCACGCCACCCCAGACCCGGGUUGACCUGUUUCCCGUGGGAGCCCCUCCUUGAGUGAAGGUUCGGUUUUCCUUGGGUGGAGUUUGCGAAUCAGAGCUGCGUUUCCUCCAUCUUUCAACCAAUAGCUUCCGAUGUUGUUUUUUUUUUUUUUUCCCCUUUCAGUAUGGUAAAGUCGGUCCCUCCUCCCGACCAAUGGAGGGCGCAAGAGUGCGUAGCGCGAAGACUGGGAAAACUGUUGGGUACGGAAGUGAUGUCAGGCACCGGAAGUGCACGAGUUUGACGGACUGGGCUGGUGAGUUCCGGCUUCUAGGAGACUUAUAAUCACGGUUCCGCUAGGCUGUAGUGAAGAGGUUCGUUUCUUCCCGACAGCCUUAAUGUUCAGAUGAGAAAGAUGAGGGUCCUAGAGGAAGGGGUUUCUCAUAUUCACUCAGCAAGAAACUCCCGAGACCAGCGCGCUUUCCACACGACUCCUCUGGGCGGAGGACUAUCCCUGAGGUCCUAUCAUGCUUGUGUUUCAGAAGCAUACAAGGCUUCCUACUUCAGAAUUGGCUUUCUCUUUCAAGGCCCUCAAUGAGUCUUCUGCAUUCAGCUCCUUGAGGACUGAGGGACUCAACUCUGCAUCACAGUAUCAACCACAAGGCCCCAGUAAGUACUCAAUAAAUGCCUAAGAAAUUACCUUCCAAUGCCAUUUAUUG
rnacentral:lncRNA from 1 species